GGAUGUGAGGGCGAUCUGGCUGCCACAUCUGUCACCCUAUUCAUCACCAGGGCUGAUUCGGCUGAUCUGGCUGGCUAGGUGGGUGUCCCUUCCUCCCUCACUGCUCCAUGUGUGUCCCUCCCUAAGCUGCGUGCUCGGUCAAAGAGGAUGACCAUCCCCAUAGAGGAGGACCGGUCUUGGUUCAAGGGUAUACAAGUAGCCAUGCUCCUCUGCUAGAACAUCCAAAUAAGCUCUCAAAAACAAAGAUAUAACUGUGAAUUUUGAUCUACCUGUUAACAUACUCUUAAAUAUAUACAUACAUUUU
ensembl:misc_RNA 7SK 7SK RNA